rnacentral:rRNA from 1 species
GCACCCCUCAAGCACUGCUUGGUAUUGGGCCUCGCCCCCGCGGCGGGCCCGGAUUUCAGUGGCGGUCCAGCGAGACUUCAAGCGUAGCAAGAUUAUCACAUCCCGCUUAGCAAGCCUUCUCGCUGCGUGCCGGCCAGACAACCCUCUACAACCUCAAUGAUUGACCUCGGAUCAGGUAGGAA